rfam:Eucalyptus grandis cultivar BRASTZ1 unplaced genomic scaffold scaffold_4, whole genome shotgun sequence.
AAUCCAUGAUGUGUGCAUCUCCUAAGAAAUUUCUCCAAUCUUUUUCAUGCUUCAUACAAAGAUUUAUUACCCAUCUACAUAAAAUUAGUAAUAUUGUUACGCAUAUU